rnacentral:rRNA from 1 species
AAAUUGAAGAGUUUGAUCAUGGCUCAGAUUGAACGCUGGCGGCAGGCCUAACACAUGCAAGUCGAACGGUAACAGGAAGCAGCUUGCUGCUUCGCUGACGAGUGGCGGACGGGUGAGUAAUGUCUGGGAAACUGCCUGAUGGAGGGGGAUAACUACUGGAAACGGUGGCUAAUACCGCAUAAUGUCGCAAGACCAAAGAGGGGGACCUUCGGGCCUCUUGCCAUCAGAUGUGCCCAGAUGGGAUUAGCUUGUUGGUGAGGUAACGGCUCACCAAGGCGACGAUCCCUAGCUGGUCUGAGAGGAUGACCAGCCACACUGGAACUGAGACACGGUCCAGACUCCUACGGGAGGCAGCAGUGGGGAAUAUUGCACAAUGGGCGCAAGCCUGAUGCAGCCAUGCCGCGUGUAUGAAGAAGGCCUUCGGGUUGUAAAGUACUUUCAGCGGGGAGGAAGGUGUUGCGGUUAAUAACC